UGGUGGCAGCGGGGCUGGCUCAGCAUACCCGUGUCAGUCCCUUUGCUCUUAUUCCUAAGUGUACUUUUGUGCCGUUUAAGCGGCUGAUGGUGAGGUGACACCGGUGUGGAGUGGAGCGGACUGGCUCCUCCAGCCCACACUGAAGGCACGGGGAGAGACCCAAGAGGGCACAAGAUACACCAUCACUUAACACAGAGGUGUUAACUUCAUUCUUGCAGCAAAAGAAGGCCAUUGUACUUCCUGACCCUGAAAGCAAG